UCUCCCUCUAAAUACCUUCUCCUUCAGACCCAUGCCUCAUUUGUUCCCCUUCAGAAAAGAGCAGGCUUCCCAGGGAUAUCAACCUAGCAUGGAAUAAGACUAGUGUAGUGGCUAUUCCUGGUUGUCAACUUGACAAUAUUUGGAAUGAACUACAAUCCAGAAUUGGAAGGCUCACCAGUGACCCUUAUCUGGAGGCUUGGAGAUCCUUAUCUGGAUCUUGGUUUGAAGAUCCUGAGCCAUAGUGGGUAUGGAUUCCAGAAGAUUGAAUCUCCGAGUUUAAGGAACACACCUUUAAUCUGGGCUACGCCUUUCAUCUGGGAUUAAAGGUGUGGUGGAACACACUUUAAUCUGGGCUACACCUUCUGCUGGAGAAAAUAUAAGGACAUUGGAAGAAGGGAGUCUAGCUCUAGUUCUUGCUCCUUCGCCUGCUUGCUGCGUGAGACUGAGUAACUGCUAGAUCCUUGGACUUCCAUUCACAGCUGCGACUGAACAAUUGUUGGGAAUUGGGCUGCCGACUGAAAAGACACAACAGAAUUGGGUCACAGUUUCAGUAUGAUAACCUGGGAACACCUAGAAAAACUGGAUUGCAAAAGCAAGAACUAAAUCAUACAAAUGUUUGUGUUUUAAUCUGAAUAUCUUUGAAUAUCAUCAACUGAAGAUCAAUGCAUUGCCUCCUAUUAUAAGCUAUCAUAGACUAGGGACUAACAAUCACAAAAUAUUGAUUGUUCUUAUUUCUUGAGAUGAUAACUCCGAGGUCAAGAUGUGGCAGAUUUGAUGUCUAAUGAGAGAUACUUCCUGUUUCCUAGAUAGCACCUUCUUGCUAUGUUCUUAGUGGGUGGAAUGAUACAGGAUCUGUCUGGGGUACCUUUUACAAGGGCAGUAAUGCCAUUCAUUAAAUUUUACAUUAAUAACAUCAAGUGUUCCAAAAGUCCUCACCUCUUAACACCAUCAAUUUAGAGAUGAAUGACGAUUUCCAAAUAGGAAUGUUGGGAUGAAACACAUAUGCAAAGCACAGUAUAUACCCAUCAUAUAAAUCUAUUGCUAGUUAAUAAUAUGUUUGGGGCUGACUUUUACACAAGCACCUAAAUCUAUGCGUGCAUCCAUGGCUAUGGUUACAAUUAUGGUUAUCUCCAUAUAAACAAAACUAUCUGUAACUCUCUGUAUACCUUCCUAAAUGCCUAAACUGUAUGCAUCUAAGUCUAUAACUGUGUCCUCAAUCAUAUCCUGGAUAAAUUUGCUCUAAAGGUGUGAAUUGAUUGUAACUCAUGAAUUCAUUGUAUGUGCUAUAUUAAACUUCUACAAAUCUG